GUGUCAGCAGCCGCGGUAAUACGUAGGGGGCGAGCGUUGUCCGAAUUUACUGGGCGUAAAGCGCGUGUAGGCGGCUCUUUAAGUCAGUUGUGAAAUCUUGCGGCUCAACCGCAAAACUGCGACUGAAACUGGAGGGCUUGAAUUUGGGAGAGGAAAGUGGAAUUCCUGGUGUAGCGGUGAAAUGCGUAGAUAUCAGGAGGAACACCCGUGGCGAAGGCGGCUUUCUGGCCCAACAUUGACGCUGAGACGCGAAAGCUAGGGGAGCGAACGGGAUUAGAUACCCCCGUAGUCC
rnacentral:rRNA from 1 species